CAAAGGGCUGAAUCUCAGUGGA
rnacentral:siRNA from 1 species